rnacentral:rRNA from 1 species
GAUGAACGCUGGCGGCGUGCUUAACACAUGCAAGUCGAACGGAAAGGCCCAAGCUUGCUUGGGUACUCGAGUGGCGAACGGGUGAGUAACACGUGGGUGAUCUGCCCUGCACUUCGGGAUAAGCCUGGGAAACUGGGUCUAAUACCGGAUAGGACCACAUCUUGGAUGGUGUGGUGGAAAGUUUUUCGGUGUGGGAUGAGCUCGCGGCCUAUCAGCUUGUUGGUGGGGUAAUGGCCUACCAAGGCGUCGACGGGUAGCCGGCCUGAGAGGGUGUACGGCCACAUUGGGGCUGGGAUACGGCCCAGACUCCUACGGGAGGCAGCAGUGGGGAAUAUUGCACAAUGGGCGCAAGCCUGAUGCAGCGACGCCGCGUGGGGGAUGACGGCCUUCGGGUUGUAAACUCCUUUCGCUAGGGACGAAGCGUUAUGUGACGGUACCUGGAGAAGAAGCACCGGCUAACUACGUG